GCUUGUUUCGCCCCGCCACUUAGUACUCUUACUGACUGGAAAGUGGCGUCAUCUGUUGACCAAAAAAAACAUAUCCGGACGGAAAGCGGCGGCGCUGGGGUCGGCUCAUAGGGUCCACUUAUUUCGGAGUUUCGAUAUUAUCCGUAUAUAAAAGCCUACUUCCGUCAUCGGUUCCGGUACUUCCCUACCACCGACGAAUGUAUAAUGUGCCGACGUUAUAGUGGAACCACCGCGGAAAAAUUGCCACGGAAACGGAGGAAACUAAAUCUUCCACCUUGGUUUUACCGCUAAAAUAUCAUUACUUCUCCACCGUUUUGGCCUCUGCUACUGCGAUAAAUAUCUCUCGGCCUAUCGGUGUAAAAGUUUAUUUUCCAAAGGAAAUGGUCUCCAAAUUUGUAAAUGUUAGCGCUAUUAUAACGAAAAUAAGUAUGUAGGAGUGUGAGGAGGUACGCCGAUGGUAGUUUUUCCAAUUCGGAAUUUAGCGGCCGAUACGGCGAUCCGAAAUUCGACAGAUAUUUUAGUCCGAUUUUACGGGCUGGUGGGCCGGAUCGAUUAUCAGCGGGCCCGGUAUCCACAGAACCCGAGUUCGAAUCCGGUGCCGACAAUCUAUCCGGACGGCCCCACGGAAGGUUAGGGCUCGGAUACGAUCGAUUUUAAGCCCGAGGUUAAGGAAAGCGUUAGGAUGGCUGGCCGGUCUCCGGGCCUACGUCAGAUUUUAAAACGGAUUUGAAAUUUGACUGGUCCCUAGAACUGUAACUAGCGUCAGAGGCGCUGUAGCCACCAUUGCAGAAAGACAAAUUAACGGGUAGACUAAACCUGUUUUUUCUUACGGAAAAUAAUAAUACGCUAUUUCUGAUGAAUAAUCUAUUAAAGUUGAGGAAGAUUAAGCGAUGAAAAUUAAUCAUGGAGUGGUCCGAAACUUUAAAUCUAUUACUGCUAUUUCAACGGGGUUUUCUUUUCGCGCUCGGUGGUUUGUUGCCUAUUUUUAGAAAAAAGACCUGGUGGAAAAAAUAAAAUGAAAUAAAAAGAAAUUUUUUAAAAUGAAACUUUUCCUGGUGGAAAAAUUAAAUGAUGAACAUUGGAUAUCAUUGGCCAAUGGCCGAUGAUAUCCAAUGUCCAUAAUUUAAUUUUAAACGACCAUUUGAUCGUUCUAAAUAACUAAUUAUGGGUUAAAAAUCGAUGGUAUACAUCGGGCUGAUUAUUCGAUUUUUUCGAUAGGCCUAAAGAUUUACUCUUUAUUUUUGAUUGAAAAAUUGGUUUUCGACCGUCUAUUUAUAAAAUAAGAAAAUAUAUAUAUAUAGAUGUGUUGGAUGAUGUGGCAGGUACUCAAAUAUCGAAAGCGCAGAUUCUUCGUUCGUUUGUUCAUUGGUGUAUUUUGGGUUAUGGAUGUAGGCGGUGCUUCCAAUUAUAUAUUAUUAAAAAUUGAUUCUACUUUAAAACACGCCGUGAAUUUAUAUUCGAAAUUAUAUCCGGACUAUGCGGAUUACAACUACAAACUACAGGUUGUCAAAACUAUGGACCUAAAUAAUUUAAUUAAGAAACACCUUUAAGAUUAACGGAAAAGAAAAACAUAUUCUGAAUGUGAGUUUAACGAUACGAAAUAUAUAAAUAUAACGAAUUAUCGCUUAAGACGGUGGUUAUCAAACUCUCCGCGUUUGCGCCCCCUUUUUUGGUGAAAAAUUAUGGGCUCCCCGGUUUCCUCGCCGUCUAAUUUCAUAAGUAUUUUCUACAGACCGUUUAAUACUACCAAACCGUAUACCAUAUUUUGUAGAAAUAAAGUUCUUAUACAUAAAUAAUCUAUAUAUUUAUUACUGUGUCAUCACUUUUAAUACAGUUAAAUCUGAUAAAAAAGAUCGUCGAAGGAAAAAUACGAUACGUGUUUAACGCGACAUAAUAUUAAAUGUCAGAGCUUUUUGGCACCGAUUCCCUGGAAUGGGGGGUGAUGGAAGGUACGGCUACUGGCCGUUCUUUUUCCGUGCCUAAACCACCUGGAUAUUUUGUAACAGCUACGGCGGAAAGCUUCUGGACAUAUAGAUUAUGUAUUUAUAGCUCUUUGGCUGAUUCGGUUUUUCCCACACCAAUUUGACUUUAUUUUUGGUCUGUUUGUGUCUCAAAAAUCAUGUUCCGGUUAAUUCUGGCUCGCCCCCUGGCUAAUCACAGUUUGGAAAACACUGGCUUAAGGAUAAGUAACAUUCUGUUAGUUAAAAAAAUAU
rnacentral:lncRNA from 1 species